rnacentral:tRNA from 1 species
GCGGGAUUCGUAUAAUGGUUAUUAUAACAGCCUUCCAAGCUGAAGAUGACAGUUCGAUUCUGUUAUCCCGCU